rnacentral:rRNA from 1 species
AAUGAACGCUGGCGGCGUGCCUAACACAUGCAAGUCGGAUGUGCCGCAAGGUGCAUGGCAGACGGGUGAGUAACGCGUGGGGAACCUACCUCUUCGUGGGGAAUAACGAUCCGAAAGGAUUGGUAAUACCGCAUGAGACCGACGGCUGGGAUGCUGUCGGUGAAAGCUGGGGACCGGAAACGGCCUGGCGCGAGGAGAGGGUCCUGCGUCUGAUUAGCUAGUUGGUGGGGUAACGGCCUACCAAGGCAUCGAUCAGUAGCCGGCCUGAGAGGGUGAUCGGCCACACUGGAACUGAGACACGGUCCAGACUCCUACGGGAGGCAGCAGUGGGGAAUUUUGCGCAAUGGACGAAAGUCUGACGCAGCAACGCCGCGUGGGUGAUGAAUGGCUUCGGCCGUAAACCCCUGUCAUUCGCGAGCAAAAGCUUCGGCCUAAUACGUCGAAGCCUGAUAGUAGCGGAAGAGGAAGGGACGGCGUAACUCUGUGCCAGCAGCCGCGGUAAUC